ACACCGGCGGCCCGAGUGGUGAUCGUGAUUAUUGGGUCUAAAGGGUCCGUAGCCGGUUUGGUCAGUCCUCCGGGAAAUCUGAUAGCUCAACUAUUAGGCUUUCGGGGGAUACUGCCAGACUUGGAACCGGGAGAGGUAAGAGGUACUACAGGGGUAGGAGUGAAAUCUUGUAAUCCCUGUGGGACCACCUGUGGCGAAGGCGUCUUACCAGAACGGGUUCGACGGUGAGGGACGAAAGCGGGGGGCACGACCCGGAUUAGAUCCCCGGGUAGUCCCAGCCGUAAACGAUGCUCGCUAGGUGUCAGGCAUGGCGCGACCGUGUCUGGUGCCGCAGGGAAGCCGUGAAGCGAGCCACCUGGGAAGUACGGCCGCAAGGCUGAAACUUAAAGGAAUUGACGGGG
rnacentral:rRNA from 1 species